rnacentral:rRNA from 1 species
AUUGAACGCUGGCGGCAGGCUUAACACAUGCAAGUCGAGCGAGCGGCGGACGGGUGAGUAAUGUCUGGGAAACUGCCUGUUGGAGGGGGAUAACUACUGGAAACGGUAGCUAAUACCGAAUAUCAUCAGAUGUGCCCAGAUGGGAUGAGCUAGUAGGUGGGGUAAUGGCUAACCUAGGCGACGAUCCCUAGCUGCUCUGAGAGGAUGACCAGCCACACGAGAACUGAGACACGGUCGAAACGCCAACGUGAGGCGGCAGGGGGAAAAAUUGCACAAUGGGGGCAGGCCUAGUACCACCAUGCCGCGUGGGGAAAGAAGGCCUACGGGUUGUAAAACACUUGCAGCGAGUAGGCGUUACUCGCAGAAGAAGCACCGGCUAACUCCGUGCCAGCAGCCGCGGUAAUAC